rnacentral:antisense_RNA from 1 species
GUAGGAGCUGCCGCAGGCUGCGAUCUUUUAAAAGAUCAAGAUCAAAAGAUCGCAGCCUGCGGCAGCUCCUAC